UUUAAGAGCUGUCAUUUCUAAAUCCUUUUGAAAAAAUCUUCUUUCUCAAUUGUAGCAGCUCCUGGAGAAGAUCAAUCGUCUGACAAAAAUAAAUGGUUCUCUUCUCAAUCUUAAACCUUCGGUUCUUCUUCAACACCAUCCGCGAUCGACUUCAGCUAUUGUAAUAUCCGGACCAUUAUUUCUCUGGGCAAGGUGAGUGGUAUUCUUCAUUUUUAAACCCCUUGUUGCCAGUAUGUGCGCAUGCUCAUUAACUGUUCGUUUGACAUGUUGAAACUUACACUCGUAGAAGGCCUUACUCAGUUCUUUAAUGUUUUGGAUGUGUGGCCCUAUUACCGAUUUAUCUCUAUUGCUGCUUUUGACUCGUUUUAUAAUUGCCAGGGAGUCUCGUUCAAUUUCCACAUAUUUUAACCCCAGAUUCUUCCCCAUUUCAAGUCCCUGUAGACAUGCAAGGGCUUCAGCUGCAAACCCUGAAGGUACAUUUUCGUUUGUUGUGGUUGUUGAAUUCAUGACAUCCCCAUUACAGUCUCUGAUGAUGAUUCCUGAGCAUGAUCUGUAGUUUUUAGUAACCACUGCAGCAUCAAAAUUGAUUUUGCAGAACCCUUGCUCCGGAGGCUUCCACAGCUCUUGAGACAUUCUUGAUGUAGGAUAUAUCUGCUUUGUGUUGUUCAGCUCUUGGAUAUACUCUAAUAUAAAUCUUGCUGUCUCUGCUCCAGAUCUCCGUCGUCCUUCAUAGAUCCAUUGAUUUCUAGCAUGCCAGAUAGCCCAGAUAGCGCAAAUGAACAUUCGGCAACUGUCGUUCUCUUUGUUUAGCAUGAACCAGGUAAACCAAUCCAAGAACUCCAAAUGAGAUAAAUCCUGGGGCCAAUCAUAUCGUAAUGUAUUCCAUGUUUCUUUUGUAACAGUGCAGUCAUGGAAUAUAUGCUCCCUGUUUUCCAGGCCUUGCUUGCAUCUUGGACAUACUCCCUCGUUUGUUAACCUUUUGAUUCUUAGAUUCACUAGAGUAGGCAAAUAGUGUAAGGUGGCUCUCCAAACUGUAAUAAGUAUUUUUGAAGGGAGGUCACUAUUCCAUAGCUUUUUGUAGCAUUUACUGAUUUCGAUUGGGUUGUAACUAUUAUUAGUAAGCAAGUUACCAUGUAAUAACAAUUUAUACCCACUUCACACUGUGUAUUCACCUGUUGACUCCCCCCUCCAAGCCAAAAAGUCGUCGUGGGGAAUUGUAGUUAGCGGAAUUUGGAGAAUUUUUUGGACAUCAUCUGUUGAGAAG
rnacentral:lncRNA from 1 species